rnacentral:lncRNA from 1 species
AUCCUCAAGUAUUCCAUGUGGUUCCUUAAUUGAUCUAUCGGCUAAUUGCAGUGUGACUGAUGUGGGUUUCAGUUCUCCGAAUCCAAAAAGUUCAUACACUGAACUAGAUAAAACAUUCACUCUUGCCCUAAGUCCAGAAGAGCUUUUUCAAUGUGAUAAUCUCCUAUAACACAGGAAAUGAUGGAGGCUCCUGGGUCCUUAAGCUUUGGAGGAGUGGCAUGUUGGAAGACAG